UACGUAGGGGGCAAGCGUUGUCCGGAAUCAUUGGGCGUAAAGAGCGUGUAGGCGGUCCGGUAAGUCGGCUGUGAAAGUCCAGGGCUCAACCCUGGGAUGCCGGUCGAUACUGCCGGACUAGAGUUCGGAAGAGGCGAGUGGAAUUCCCGGUGUAACGGUGAAAUGCGCAGAUAUCAGGAGGAACACCAAUAGCGAAGGCAGCUCGCUGGGACGUCACUGACACUGAGGCGCGAAAGCGUGGGGAGCGAACAGG
rnacentral:rRNA from 1 species